GGUUGAAGGUUGGGUAACACUAACUGGAGGACCGAACCGACUAAUGUUGAAAAAUUAGCGGAACUUGUGGCUGGGGGUGAAAGGCCAAUCAAACCGGGAGAUAGCUGGUUCUCCCCGAAAGCUAUUUAGGUAGCGCCUCGUGAACUCAUCUUCGGGGGUAGAGCACUGUUUCGGCUAGGGGGUCAUCCCGACUUACCAACCCGAUGCAAACUACGAAUACCGAAGAAUGUUAUCACGGGAGACACACGGCGGGUGCUACGUCCGUCGUGAAGAGGGAAACAACCCAGACCGCCAGCUAAGGUCCCAAAGUCAUGGUUAAGUGGGAAACGAUGUGGGAAGGCACAGACAGCCAGGAUGUUGGCUUAGAAGCAGCCAUCAUUUAAAGAAAGCGUAAUAGCUCACUGGUCGAGUCGGCCUGCGCGGAAGAUGUAACGGGGCUAAACCAUGCACCGAAGCUGCGGCAGCGACACUAUGUGUUGUUGGGUAGGGGAGCGUUCUGUAAGCCUGCGAAGGUGUGCUGUGAGGCAUGCUGGAGGUAUCAGAAGUGCGAAUGCUGACAUAAGUAACGAUAAAGCGGGUGAAAAGCCCGCUCGCCGGAAGACCAAGGGUUCCUGUCCAACGUUAAUCGGGGCAGGGUGAGUCGACCCCUAAGGCGAGGCCGAAAGGCGUAGUCGAUGGGAAACAGGUUAAUAUUCCUGUACUUGGUGUUACUGCGAAGGGGGGACGGAGAAGGCUAUGUUAGCCGGGCGACGGUUGUCCCGGUUUAAGCAUGUAGGCUGGUUAUCCAGGCAAAUCCGGAUAAUCAAGGCUGAGGUGUGAUGACGAGGCACUACGGUGCUGAAGUAACAAAUGCCCUGCUUCCAGGAAAAGCCUCUAAGCAUCAGGUAACAUCAAAUCGUACCCCAAACCGACACAGGUGGUCAGGUAGAGAAUACCAAGGCGCUUGAGAGAACUCGGGUGAAGGAACUAGGCAAAAUGGUGCCGUAACUUCGGGAGAAGGCACGCUGGUGUGUAGGUGAAGUCCCUGCGGAUGGAGCUGAGACCAGUCGAAGAUACCAGCUGGCUGCAACUGUUUAUUAAAAACACAGCACUGUGCAAACACGAAAGUGGACGUAUACGGUGUGACGCCUGCCCGGUGCCGGAAGGUUAAUUGAUGGGGUUAUCCGUAAGGAGAAGCUCUUGAUCGAAGCCCCGGUAAACGGCGGCCGUAACUAUAACGGUCCUAAGGUAGCGAAAUUCCUUGUCGGGUAAGUUCCGACCUGCACGAAUGGCGUAAUGAUGGCCAGGCUGUCUCCACCCGAGACUCAGUGAAAUUGAACUCGCUGUGAASGAUGCAGUGUACCCCGCGGCAAGACGGAAAGACCCCGUGAAAGAAGGUGUGCCAGAUCAUGCCGACCUCGACAUGACUGAGGCCCGGGAGCACCGCCCGGGUAGCGCCCCAGCAGGCGCGCUGGGGAGUCAGCAGCCAGCGUCUCGGGGAAAAAAGUCGGCCACCCGCUGGUUAUCAUGCAGCACCGCCAGGAUGGUCUGUCCCUGCCGGUGCACCUCGAGGAUCAAAUCCAUUAGUUUCGCGACUGGUCGCUUCGUCGAUACCGGUGAAGGGCUCGUCGAGCAUCACCAGCGGCGCCUGCUG
rnacentral:rRNA from 1 species